CUCUUGCCUUCUCUCGCUCUCUGCUUCCUCCCAUCUCAACCGCCCAUCUCCUACCCUGCCGCGCACACUUGCAAGUUCUGUUCGGGCAUUCAUCCACUUCGGCAAAGGCGAUUCUCUCGCUCUCUUCCCUGCGACAGCGGUCACUUUCUUUUCGACGGUGCGUUGCCAUCAUUGCCUCAUCACACAGACACAAGCACUCCGACACGGAACCCGAUCAGUCGCGUCGGCUUCGCCCAUCGGCGCGCAUCAUUCUGCGUUGUUGGUCGCACGACCCCUCUUCCCUCUCCCCGUUAUAUGCCAAGCCGCUCAUUUUGGCACGCAACCUCUCUAUUCUCUUCGCGCUGCGCGUUCACUACUGUGCCCGUGACGGUGGCAGGAUCCCUGCGAUCGAGCGUCUCGUCGGUUUCUCGGACACCCGACAAGUGCGCGUUCGUGCGCCGCCCCCGCUUAGUGUUUGUGGGCGCGACUACCUCGUCUUCCUUUAGCGUGUCCAACUGCGCUGACGCCGUCGGCGCCGUCGCCGCCGGUGUUUUGUAUCAACGUCGGCAAUUUCGCUUAGGCAUGACCACGCCACUGACGAACUGCGCUGGGCCGCAGGAGAAAGAUGGGUCAAAGGAUAUGAGCGAUGAAGAGUGGAGGCGUAUCCUCACAGCACAGGAGUACCAUAUUCUGCGUGAGAAGGGCACUGACCCCGUCGGUGGGAAGUACGACGACGUCUUCGACGAGGGGGAGUACGUGUGCGCCGGGUGCAAGACGCCGCUUUACCUGUCCUCCAUGAAAUUCGCCUGCGGCUGUGGCUGGCCCGGGUUUUACGACUGCAUCCCAAAGCGGGUGCGCGAGCAGCCGGACAAGGACGGCCGCCGUGUCGAGAUUGUCUGCAACGCGUGCAACAGCCACCUCGGGCACGUCUUCCGUAAGGAGGGCUUCCGAAAUCCACCACCGAACGAGCGGCACUGCGUGAACAGCACCUCCAUCAUACUGCGACCCACGCAGCAGCCGUAAGCCCGCCAAACACGUGUGGGCGAGUCGUUGCUCCUCCCCACACCCUCCUCCCUCCCCCUCUCUAUCGUGUGUCUGCCCAUGUUGUCUGUCAUCACACGUCACACACAUACACGUUGUAUGCUUGCGUAUGUGUGUGACGUGUGAUGACAGACACUGGCGGCACCCCCAUAGCUCUUCGAGCAACAAAUACACAAACCCGCAAUCUCUGCUUCUUAUUGUUGCAGCGCUGCUGAGUUGUUUGCGGACACACUCCACACGACGCGGGCAGUGCUGGCUUCUUUCUCCUUUUCUUCGUUCGUUAUGUAGUGUGGAUCCCGUGUGCUGAAGGUCGUAUGGGUGUCGAACCCAUGACGCCGGAGGGGAGAGGGCGGCGGGGGCGAUGGUGCAGAAACGCAAGUGAACGACGUAACUUAGGAGGCGGCAUCAUGGCAGCCGCAAAACAUGCAUACGCCGCAUGAUGCAGCUCUUGAUUUUUGUCUUCACUUCCCCUCCCUCCGCCCUCCUCCGCCCUGGCCCUUGUCCUCGACCCUCACCCCCUCCUCCGUUCGGUGUAUGCGUGUGCGCAUCUGUGUUUCUGCGCUCCACUACCAUUUUGCCUUUCCUAUUUCUCUGUAGACGCUGCCCUUCUCUGCAUCUCUAUACACAUCUGUAGGCAUGGCUGUGUGCGACGGGCGGCGCGGCGUGGCGCUACACAACACACUUAAACGCAUAACAUCAUACCCUCCUCCUCUCUUCACAUAUAAGACACAAGCGUAUGCUCUCCCCUGCGUAACACCGUGCUCUCUACCGCCCGCUUAAGGGAGCUCCAUCCAGCACGAAGGCGCGCCGUCGACGCACACAGGUUUGUAUAGUGCGCAGUAUGGAAGCGACGCCCUCCUCCACGU
rnacentral:misc_RNA from 1 species